UGGUGGUCAUGGCGGGGUGGCUGCACCCGUUCCCAUUCCGAACACGGCCGUGAAACGCCCCUGCGCCAAUGGUACUUCGUCUUAAGACGCGGGAGAGUAGGUCGCUGCCAGGU
rnacentral:rRNA from 1 species